AACAAUGGGUCGGUUGGAGUUU
rnacentral:miRNA from 1 species